GCACAUUCCCUCCCCUCCCCAUCCCUGGGAAGUGGCUAAAGCAAACCUUGCGCCACCUAUUUUACAGACGAAGAAACUGAGUCCCAGAGAAAGAGCAUGACCUGUUAGAACGGGCGCUGCAUUUGGAACCCGAGGACCCGGUUGGACUGUGUCCGGGUGACGGAGCAAGGGGUGAUCCCAGCCUAGAGCGGGCCACGAGCUCACAAAGGAUGCUCUCCGAGAGCGGGUUUCUCCGGGGGGCUUGCAGAGGCAGCAGCCUUCGUUUCUGUGCAGAGUGAUCACCCCGAAUGCAACCAGAGAGUAAAGUCCAAGUCCUUUGUCGUCUCAUUCAAAGUCUGUCUCCUUCACUUGGGGCUCCGCUAGUUUUCUGGAGGUCCUCCACUCCUCAGUCCUCCUUAGUUCUGCCCGACUGGCUUCUGAAUCUCCUCGACUGAAUCUGCCUGAGGCUCCGAGCUUCUACCGGGCUUCUGGCUCUGGCCCCGAGAGCUUCUUGCUUAUAUGCUGUACACUGAGUACACACCAAUCCUUAUAUCACCGGGAAACCAUUAUUUGUUGUAGGAUUAAAUCAGUUCCAAGCUAGAUUUAAACAUUGUCUCCUCAAUUCCACUUAAUACUUUGUUUCAAGUUCUGGCCCGUAACAUCUCCUUGUAGGAUCAGAUCAAUCACACUGAACCAUGAGAAAUUAGACAACUUUUGUCUCUGUCAAUCCCGCUCUUUGUACCUUGUAAGAAUCCUAACAUUGUGAAACAUGAUCUAUUAUGUCCCCGACAUUGUCAGAUCUACUAAUCCUGUCACUGUAUGGUCUUAGUUUUAGAGUAGAGCUACCUUCUCCCUACUUCCUUUGGUAAAGGUUUCUCUGAAAAUUCACCAGGAAUCAAUGGCAGGUUUGGGCUGUUAGAAGAUGUGGGAAAGAUGUUCCCCUUGCCAGACUUCCUCCCUCCUCCCAACAGCCGUUUCCAUGACUUCAUCCCCAUCUCCCCAGACUAAGGAAGUCAUUUGAACAAAAAAUAAGUUUCUAUACUUAAUCGCCUCUUACUUUAAAAAAAAAAAAAAUGAGUUCAAUUCAGCAAAUAUUUUUAAGCACCUACUAUGUGCUGUGCUGGGAAGAGAGAUGCUGUUCAGCUGAGGCACGAGCAAUCUCCAUUUCUGCAUAGAUAAUGAUUGGAAGAAAAUACAUCUACAAAACGUUUACUCUGUUCCAAGAGUGGGGAAGCAUACAAGCAGCAAGACAAUUGCUCCUGAGGAGUUUGCAUUUUUCCAGGGUGCAUGAGAGGACACGGAGAAGGAGGAUGCACAGUUAAGUGCACAGGGAAGCAAAUGCAAGGUGUGUUUUUUUCAGGAGAGAGAGCAGAUGCUCACUAGAUCGACGACCCCAGCAGGUCAUUUCACUUCAGUCUCAGUUUCUUCAUCUGUAAAAUGCGGGCAAUAAUAGCAUUUUCCUGUAUUGUUGUGAGGAUCAAAUGAGAUUACAUGCAGAAAGUGCUUUGCAAACUUGUGUAAAUUAUUAUUAUUAAUAACACUAAUAUUUAUUUAUGCUAAUAUGUAAUAUAAUAUUAAUUUAGGGGCAGGGAGGAGGUGCACUGGAUACAGUGCUGAGCCUAGAAUCAGGAAAAUCUGAAAUCAAGUCUGACUUUGGAAGCUAGCUGUGUGACCCUGAGCAAGUCAUUUACCCCUGUUUUCCUCAGUUGUAAAAUAAGCCAGAAAAGGAAAUGGAAAACCACUCCAGUAUCUUUGCUAAGAAAAUCCCAAAUGCAGUCACAAAGAGGCAGACAUUAUUGAAAUGAAACAACAACAAAAUUGUAAUACCAAUAGUAAUGCUAUAUUAAUUUUAAUAUUCAUACUAUAAAUAUUCAAUAAUAAUAAUAACAGCCACUUUGGGGAGAGGAUCAGGAAAAGCUAGUAGGAGGUAACACAUGAGCUUGGAAGAAAAGUAGAAUUUCCAGGAGCUCAAAGCCAGGGCACAACCCGUGCCACAUGUAGCAGCCACCUUUGCAAUGGCACCAAAGUGAAAGAGGGACAAUUUCAAGAGGAAAAAGCCAGCAGACCAAUUUGACUGGAUCAUGGGGUACAUGAGGAAGGAUAAUGUGAAAUAUGAAAUAUUUGGUAGAAGUCUUAAGUGCACAAAUAAGAUAUUUUUAUUCUGUUUUAUCCUGUAGGAAAUGGGGAGAUAUGGAAAUUUUUUAACUGUUGGGGAAGGGUAUUAACAUUGUGGUUAGAAAUAUCAAUUAUUUUUUUAAAAAUCAGUUAUUUUAGACCUUCAUUCUCCCCUUUUUGUACAGGAAAUGGCCCCAUACGAGAGCAUGAUACCCUCCUUGUUCUUGCUGCAGUGAUAUGUAGAGUGUAUACCCAAAGGAGCUAGAUGAGGUCUUCUUGCACCUCCUUAAUGAGGUGAGAGAUUUCCCCUGACAAGGUUAAUUCCUUGUUAAUAAGACAGGGCCUUUGUUCUUGGAAUUAAUGAUUUCUCUUUAACAAGGUGUGAGCUCUCCUUCCUCACUGAGAACCAAUGAUUCUACAUGGGGGUUGACUGAUUUCUAUGCCCUUGAACUUGGUCUUUAAAAAAGAGACUAGACAGACAUGGAGAGCACCAGAGAAGGAAGAUGAGGAGGCAGUUGGAUACCCUCAGAAUCUGGUUCCCUGGAAGGAUUCCCUUGCAGGGGGGGAUGAUGCUUACAGUGCCUCUGAGGUGCCCGGAGAAGAGGGAAUCCCUGGGUCCCAGUGAGACUUGUAGGGGACCCGCAGCAUUGAGGGGCCUCCAUAGACCCAGAACACGGAAGGACAGAACUAGGUUAGGAUGGAACAGAGUAUGAAUGAAGCAGACCAUGUAGACCUCUGGGAUAAGUGAGAAUCAUGGGAAGUGGGGGAACUGAAUGCCUUCUCUAAUAGGGGAAAUGUGUGUGUGUGUGUGUGUACCACAGAGUAUUGUAAAUCUGGAAGACCUGAUCAAUCUUCUGGCCAAUAUAAGAGAGUUAUCCAAUUGUGUCUCAUUUCUGUUUUCUGUUGAAUUAAAUAGUUUGUCC
ensembl:lncRNA